GAAUACAAUAAUCAUUCAUUGUGUUGCUUUUAUUAAAUGAACGCUUCAAAGUUAAAAAAUAAUUUUAUUUGACACUUAUUAUAUAACUGUGUUGUUAACCACAUCAUGGUAACAAAAACAUGAUUAUACUAUUUUUAUUCUCAACAACAUGAGACGCAUAGAUACGGAAACUCUGCCUGACAAUUGCAACAUUUGAAUUUCUUACAUAAUCCAAAGCAACCUGAAAUUGCCAAAACAAAUAUUCUUCAUUUAUCAAAUUAUUCAAAAUUAUAUCAUAAAGACUCCUCAUAUAAUAGAAGAAAGCAUGAUGAGCCAAUUCGAAUCAAUGAGAGAGUAUAUAUUUGAAAACCAAAAUUUUGUUUUAGAAAUAAUUAUACUUAGAAGCUUUCAAUCAUUUAACGUAAAAAUAUCUUUUAAAAACAAUCAGGAAAUUCAGACAUCCAAAUAUUGAAUUUAAACAUCCCAAAUGUGAUUUUGAAUAGUUAGAUAUAUUUAAAAGUAUAAGUUUAGUUAUACAUAGCCACUUCGAGUUGAAAAUAUAUUUUCUAUUAAUAUGAGGAUAAAAAUAAUCAAAAAAAUCCUUAAGACUAAGUUACCUGAAACAGACACACGAGUGCUACGACUUGCAACAGACAAUUUUAAUGACAUUAUCGGUGAUGUUGCUUCCGGUGCAGAUGAUGGCUCUGGUGCAGGUAAUGGUUCUAGUGUUGCUAGAGUUAAUGGAGAAAAAAGAACAAAGAUGACAAUAAUAUUGUAUCCCAUAGAAUUAGUUGAUUUUGCCAUCUUAAACAACUAUUUUUUAUCUUGCUUGUAUGUACUUUUUUC
rnacentral:lncRNA from 1 species